GGGUUCGGGGGUUGCUACAGCUGAUAAGUGGCGAGAAGCUAAACGCUGACUCAAUGCCCCCUCAAAAGGAUGGAAGUCCUGGAACUGGUCAAACUGACACACCAUGCCAUCUGAAAGUGCCAAUCGGUCUCAAGUGUGAUAUAAACCACACGUACAACAUGAUCGAGCUGUCUGUAAAUAUCCCUGUUGGGUAAGUGCUGCAAUAUGUGGCUGACCUCAGUGUCUCUGUGAUGAUCAUCGGUACAAUGGUGUGACCCUCCCUCAGAGCUCUCACUGCCAUGAUAACGCCAAUAUCUAGCUCAUCCAUGUAUCGUGGCAUGUAUACAUACGACAAUACGCAUAGUAGCAGUACAUCUACUCUGGCCGAGUGCCAAUGAUCCUCCGGCAUAGUGAAAUCCCCGGAGUGCCGUGUAGCUAUCCUCAGAGCCAAAUAUGUCCGUCAGAAAAUGUUGGGAUACAACAUGACCGGAUGUGAUCUCAUCCUGCACAACUCUCCGCCUCAGCCCAGUGGUGAGAGUCAUAAACUGUCGGCUCAUGUCGCUGAUGGCCAUAUGUGCG
rnacentral:lncRNA from 1 species